rnacentral:tRNA from 1 species
GCCCAGAUGGCGAAAUGGUAGACGCGCUAGCUUCAGGUGCUGGUAUCUUAACCGAUAUGGAAGUUCGAAUCUUCUUCUGGGCACCA